AGUGAACGCUGGCGGUAGGCCUAACACAUGCAAGUCGAACGGCAGCACAGUAAGAGCUUGCUCUUACGGGUGGCGAGUGGCGGACGGGUGAGGAAUACAUCGGAAUCUACUUUUUCGUGGGGGAUAACGUAGGGAAACUUACGCUAAUACCGCAUACGACCUACGGGUGAAAGCAUGGGAUCUUCGGACCUUGCGCGAUUGAAUGAGCCGAUGUCGGAUUAGCUAGUUGGCGGGGUAAAGGCCCACCAAGGCGACGAUCCGUAGCUGGUCUGAGAGGAUGAUCAGCCACACUGGAACUGAGACACGGUCCAGACUCCUACGGGAGGCAGCAGUGGGGAAUAUUGGACAAUGGGCGCAAGCCUGAUCCAGCCAUACCGCGUGGGUGGAGAAGGCCUUCGGGUUGUAAAGCCCUUUUGUUGGGAAAGAAAAGCAGCAGGUUAAUACCCCGCUGUUCUGACGGUACCCAAAGAAUAAGCACCGGCUAACUUCGUG
rnacentral:rRNA from 1 species